rnacentral:tRNA from 1 species
GGGGAUAGCUUAGUGGUAGAGCAUGUGCUUAGCAUGCAUGAGGUCCUGGGUUCGAUCCCUAGUGUCUCCA